UACGUAGGGGGCUAGCGUUGUCCGGAAUCAUUGGGCGUAAAGCGCGUGUAGGCGGCCCGAUAAGUCCGCUGUGAAAGUCCAAGGGCUCAACCCUGGGAUGCCGGUGGAUACUGUCGGGCUCGAGUCCGGAAGAGGCGAGUGGAAUCCUGGUGUAGCGGUGAAAUGCGCAGAUAUCAGGAAGAACACCGUGGCGAAGGCGGCUCUCUGGGACGGUACUGACGCUGAGGAGCGAAAGCGUGGGGAGCGAACAGG
rnacentral:rRNA from 1 species